rnacentral:rRNA from 1 species
CAAUAGCGUAUAUUAAAGUUGUUGCAGUUAAAAAGCUCGUAGUUGGAUUUCUGAUCGAGACAUCAGGUCGGGUCCGAGAGGAUCAUGUACUUUGAUUUUGUUUUGAUCAUCCUUGGGGAGAGCAUUUCUGGCAUUCAGUUGUCGGGAUUGGGAUCCUCAUCGUUUACUGUGAAAAAAUUAGAGUGUUCAAAGCAGGCCUCGGCCUCUGAAUACAUUAGCAUGGAAUAAUAAGAUAGGACUUUGGUGGUCUAUUUUGUUGGUUUGCACGCCAAAGUAAUGAUUAAUAGGGAUAGUUGGGGGUAUUCGUAUUCAAUUGUCAGAGGUGAAAUUCUUGGAUUUAUGGAAGACGAACUACUGCGAAAGCAUUUACCAAGAAUGUUUUCAUUAA